rnacentral:rRNA from 1 species
GUGCCAGCAGCCGCGGUAAUACGGAGGGUGCGAGCGUUAAUCGGAAUUACUGGGCGUAAAGGGCGCGUAGGCGGUCGCGCAAGUCGGGUGUGAAAGCCCCGGGCUCAACCUGGGAAUUGCAUUCGAUACUGCGUAACUAGAGUCUGGUAGAGGGAAGCGGAAUUCCGCAUGUAGCGGUGAAAUGCGUAGAUAUGCGGAGGAACACCAGUGGCGAAGGCGGCUUCCUGGACCAAGACUGACGCUGAGGCGCGAAAGCGUGGGGAGCAAACAGGAUUAGAUACCCUGGUAGUCCACGCCCUAAACGAUGAGGACUAGACGUUGGGGGGAUAAAACCCUUUAGUGUCGCAGCUAACGCGUGAAGUCCUCCGCCUGGGGAGUACGGCCGCAAGGUUGAAACUCAAAGAGUAGUGGCGUGAGACGUGCGACGAGCACACGGAGGUAG